ACGUAGGUUACUGGGAGAGCCGCUGGUUGCCAAAGCAACUGGCCCUUAGGCAGAAGCGGGCAGGCAGGCUUCAGAGAAACUCCACCCAGGGUAUGGGAGGUGGGCGCUCGCUAUUGGCGUCCUGCUCUUGCUGAACUUUAAAAAUCCAGUGUACAGAAGAACUGGUGAUAAAAAACAGAAACAGAGAGUGGAGAUUGUUACAGUUGCGCUUGUCACCAUUUAAAACUUCAACAGUGUUAGGAGCGUUCAUGUACAAAAGACGGUGAAGAUGUGUCUGCAAGGGCAGCAGCUAAGAGGAGAGGUCGCCUGGAGGUCGGGGCAGACAGUGGGGUAACCCGGCGCCAUCAACGGGGUGUGGAGUCCUUGGUCAGGAGGAGGAUGUGAGCAGAGCCUUCCAGGUCAUCACGGCUGAAGCUGUUUGUGGCGUCCUCUGAAACAAUGCUGUGAACAGUGCACCCCUUGUCCUGAGCACCUCUGAGACAAAUAAAGGAAAUCCAUACUCAUCUGGGCAAAGUCAACUCAGGACCAGAGUGAGACCAGCUUUCCAGUCACUCAGGUAACGCACAGCAAUGCUGAGAAACGGUCCGAGGUCCUGACUGUGGAGCUUAAAUGGAUGAAAUGCCUGAGAGAACAUUUCAGCCACUGAACCAUUUCAGAACAUAUCUUUCAAGUCUGAAAUAGGCUAAGAGUACGGAGUGAAUUUGGAAGGUUACCUGAAAAGAGCCCUUUGUUCACUGCCAUCCUGCACAGCCUGGCAGGACUGCUGGGCUGUUGCCCAGAACACUGCCAACCCUCUGAUGCCAGCAAAGGCCUUUAGGUGACGUCUUGUGAAAGGGAUCCAUACUGCAGCCCACAUACUCAGAGGGCAAGUAGGCUGUUUACAGAAUCUGAACGUGGAACACAAGCGUGGUUCUGGGCCAGUGCAGACACGAGCUGGAUGUGCCAGCCAUAGCUUAGCUAGAAAAACAGGAAAGGACUGAGGCAGGGUGUGGCUGUGUUUGCUGUAGGGAGCUCUUCCUGAGACUUCAGACAUCAAGUGCCUCAAAAUGCAUUUAUAUCUAAAGUUUGAGUAACAUUUGGCUCAUGCACCUUCCCUACCACUCACUCCACACACAGACUCAAAACUAUCUCUGCAGAAUGGAAGUCUACAACCUCAAACUGGUGCCAUUCAGAAGAGCACAACCACACUCAGAGGCAGGAGUGCAGUGAGACCCUGGAACUUACUGUGUGGGUGACCCCCGAGUCACCCCAACAGCACAGCUCUGUGGGGCACACAGAGCCUGUGGUGGAGAGGAUCACUAGAAGACUCACAGGACAAGUGGGUCUAUCCAACCGGUCACAAUGCAUGUCACUGGUAAAACAGGCAGGUACAAAUGCGGGAAAGCUACCUACUCAAGGUGACUCCCUGCGGGAAUAGGCCUGGUUGAAUCUAAAUCUGGCAACUCCAGAUUUGGUGGACUGGCACCACCAAGUGCCACUCAGACAUCUGCAGUGAAACACUGGGGCAACUUCGUAUGGCAAAGCCUCCCUACCCUGAGCAGGACAGGGUCGAAACUGCUGCCUUUACUGAAAAGCACAUGUAAGUUGGGAAGGCUAAACAGGAUUCCCCACAGUAUCGAAAUUUGAAAUGCAUCCAGAUGAGAUAAUUGACAACGAGAAAUGGGAAGAAAAGGGUAAAGGUAUAGGGAAAGUGGGAAGGAUGG